rnacentral:rRNA from 1 species
GUAGGGUCCGAGCGUUGUCCGGAUUUAUUGGGCGUAAAGAGCUCGUAGGCGGUUCCGUAAGUCGGAUGUGAAAACUCGGGGCUCAACCCCGAGACGCCAUCCGAUACUGCGGUGACUUGAGUCUGGUAGGGGAACACGGAAUUCCUGGUGUAGCGGUGAAAUGCGCAGAUAUCAGGAGGAACACCGAUGGCGAAGGCAGUGUUCUGGGCCAGUACUGACGCUGAGGAGCGAAAGCGUGGGGAGCAAACAGGAUUAGAUACCCUGGUAGUCCACGCCGUAAACGAUGGACACUAGGCGUCGGGGGGAGCGACCCUCUCGGUGCCGUCGCUAACGCAGUAAGUGUCCCGCCUGGGGAGUACKGCCGCAAGGCUG